rnacentral:tRNA from 1 species
AGCUCAAUUUGGUAGAGCAGCUCCCUUUUAAGGAGUUGGUUCCGAGUUCAAGUCUCGGC